CCCUAGCCCUGAUGGAAGCGGCAUCCUUUUUCUGGCUCCUUUAGCCAGGAAAAGAUAUAGCGGACAGCAGGAAAUAGC
rnacentral:sRNA from 2 species